UCUCAGCACUGGUUUCUUUAUCUGAACUUUAUCUUCAUUCAUUCAAUGACUUUAUUUUGUGUUACAUCCUGUCAUUGGCACUAAGGAUACAGUAAUUUACAUUGGAAAAAAAAAAAAAGAAUCUAAUUAUAGUGCUCCGUCUAACAUUAAAUGGAGAUGACACAGCAGAAUCUUGUUAACUUUAGGGUAGGAGGCAAGAGAAGAAAGUAGGCUUGAAACAAGGAAAGCUUUGCAAGGUGGAUUCUUUACCAACUGAGCUAUCAGGGAGUCCCAACUAAGCCUGUGGACCGCAACUCCUGAGCCUGUGCUCCAGAGCCGGGAACUGCAGCUGCUGAGCCCACACGCUGCAGCCACUGAAACCUGUGCACCUGGAGUCUGUGCUAGGCAGCAAGAGCAGCCACCGCAGUGAGAAGCCUGCACACCACGACUAGAGCGCACCUCAACGGGCCACAGCUAGAGAAAGCCCGAGCACAGCGACGAAGACCAAGUAAAGCCACAAACAAAUAAAAGACUUCUCUGGCCCUGUGUCCCAACACCUUGAUGGCAACCUCACAACAGACAAUGAGCCUCAUCUGGCUAAGCUGCUCCUGAAUUCCUGACCGACAGAAAUGAGGAAAUAAAAAGCAUUUACUGCUGUAAGCCAGCAAGGUUGUUUCGGGAUAAUUUGUGACAGAGCAAUAGAAAACCAACUGAAACAGUUUACUUGCAGAGGUCGACAUGAAUGAAAUUCUAGACCCAAGUUUCAAGUGCAGGGGCUUGGUCUUCCUAACUCAGUCCUCAGGGGUCUAAACAAUACCAACCAACCGCCUUUUAUUUCUCCAGUUUCUUUUUGAAACAUAGUAAAACUAAUUAUGGGUUAGUAGUGGAUUAACU
ensembl:lncRNA